GGCUACCACUAUUAAGAGAUUGGUGUUUACUUGCUUUGUUUAUUGUCUUUAACAAGAGAGAAAUGAUAUGAUAUUUUCAUCUAGUUGUUCUCCAGCUACUGUUAUUGUGAGAAAGGUUGAAUCUUUUGUGAGAUUUAGGUUGUUAUCUGUAAACAAGUUUAAGGAGAAUGGUGCUAAUGCUUAGUUUCUGGAUUCAUGGCAUCUCACUCCUUCUGUGUUAAGGUCUCAUGUUCCCUGAUUUGUUUACCUUCCCUCUCAUAUAGCCUGAUUUGAUAUUGGUUUGUUGUCUGGCCUGCUUUGUUGCUCUAGUAGUGUGGCUGAGCUGGUCUGAAUUGUUGGUCUGUGUUUUGCUGGUCUGAGCUGCUAGUGUGGCUGAGCUGCUAUGUGCUUUGUUGGUUUGAUUGCUAUACUACAUCUGCUUGCUGUGCUGUAUUUAUUUUAUGUGUUGUCCUAUUUACUAUGCUAUGUUGUCUUGUUUGCUGUGUUGCAUCUGUUCUGCUAUGCUAGUGUUGUUUGCUGCUGUAUUGCAGUUCUGUCAUACUAGCUUGAUGCAAAUCUGCUGUUAAGCUGUGUACUGUUGUCAUGUUGCUCUGCAAAGUUGUUGUGCUAGUGUUUGGCAUUAUGUUCUGUUGUAAUUCCACUUGUUUUGGUUGUUUUCUGCUUCUUUGUUGUUCCUGUAGGUUAGUGUGUUACCCAUAGUAGGUGGCAUUCAUUAUUAUUAGGUGGCUAUCAUUGUUACUAUUCUCAUAUGCAAGUUUUAUUAGUUGGCUAUCAUUUGAAUGGUUGGUGGCAUUCAUUUGAAUGCUAAAGAUGAAUGGUAGGUGACUUUAAGUAUAUAUAUAUAUAUAUAUAUUUAUGUACAGACGUUUUAUCUCUCUUUUGGUAUCAUUUGUUCAAGAUAUACUUGUGAAUAAGUCAUCUUCGAAUUGGUGCCAAACCCAAAGUUCCCAAAGCUCUGGUUCUCUUUUUCACAGCUCCGACUCUCCCACAGCUCAGGUUCGUUGUGUUCAUAUGUGGAGCAUUGGCUUCACAAGUUAGUUCAAAUUUUAUAGUUCAAAUUUUGAAGUUCAAGGUAUUGGUUUGUUGCCCUGGUGUAAUUUGGUGACCAAUUAUGUGUGAAGAUAUCUUAUUUAGUUAUAGAGUUUGGAAUCUAUGGUAUUGGCAAUACACCUAUGACAAUUUUGUAUAUCACUUCUUUUUCCAUAAUUAAUGUUCCUUAAAUAACCGAAGUUAAUAAGAUAAUUGUUAAAUCUGACUAAACAAUUCCAAAUUCAGGCUUAGAUUGGCGUAAUCAUCUGCAUGUUGUUGUUGGUUCUAAUUUAUAAAAUAAAAAAAUAAAAAAAAAUCUACGGAACCUAUGAAUAUAAAUAAAAUACAUUCAUAAACGAAAUUAGUGUACAACUACAAUACAUUCAUAAACAAAACUAAAAUAUAAAUAAAAUUAGUAUGCAUAAUAUACAAGCUCAACAAAUAGUUCACCAAUUUUUCAUCUCUCUUGCUUCAAAUAUAGUUGUACUAUUGUGUGUUCAUUUCAUUAUUGUAAUAGUAAAUAAGAAGCCUUUAAAUGGGUAGGUAUUUUGGAGAUAAGUAAUAGUGGUGACAAUGAAUGGAAUGAUGAUCAUGAUGAUGAAGAUGUUGAAGAUGAAGGUAGCACAUCUCAAACCCAACAAAAUAAUAAUAUGCUCUUAGCAACGACGACAAUAGUUGUAGUGACAUAUGCGGCAAAUUAUUUGAUAAAAGAACCAUGUAGGACAUCUUCUCUAACAGGGUAGAAGUGGAUGGUAGAAUUACAAGAAGGGAAUCAAACAAGAAUAUUUGAAAAUUUUCGAAUCGAAAGAGAGGUAUUUUAUGAAUCGUGUGAUUUGUUAUAGAAUAACUAUGGCCUUCAAAGUGGACAAAAAGUCUCGGUUCCGGAGCAGGUUGCAAUAUUGUUGUAUAUUGUUGGUGGUGACAUUCGAAACAGAAAUGUCCAAGAAAGAUUUCAACAUUCCGGAGAGACAAAGUCAAAAUACUUCAAGCUGGUGUUAAAAGUUGUUACAAUGAUGUCUAUUGAUUGGGUAAGGCCUCAACCGAGAAAUGAUGUGCAUCUAUAUAUUAGAAGCAACCACAGAUACUAUCCUCAUUUCAAGGUAAUAAUUAACUACAAGUGGAACUUGGGUGUUACAUAUAAUUAAUGUUGUUAGGAUAUUUCUAAUAAUGAAUAAAUAUAUUUUUAUUCUAAAUUUUGUAAUAGGAUUGUAUUGGAACAAUUAAUGGAACACACAUCAAAGCAUAUAUAUCUUCAGAUAAGCAACUUGUUUAAUUGAUGGCAAUGGGGUGUGCGACUCAAAGCAUAAUGGCUGUAUGUGACUUCGAUAUAUGUUUCACAUUUGCUUGCCAGGAUCGAAAGGAAGUGCACACGAUACUCGGAUCUUCUUAGAUACAAUUAGGAAUCCUAGUUAUAAUUUUCCAAAACCAGAACGAGAUGAGUUUUACUUGGUGGCUGCUGGGUAUCCAAACAUGAAAGGAUAUCUUACACCUUACAAAGGAGAAAGAUACCAUCUAGCUCAAUUUGAACAUGGUCAACCCUCCCAAAAUGCACAAGAAAAAUUCAACCAAGCACAUGAA